CUAAGAACUUUCAAAUAUAUUUUUAUGAUCAAUUAUUCUUUUUAAGGUGGUAUCUAAACUGCAGGAGAUAACUCUGUAUAAUCAGCUAAACGUUUUAAUUACGUUGUGUUGUUAAGGGAAUAUUAAGCUUCUCAAUGAUCAAAAUAAUAAAGUGUUUGUCAAACUGCUAUAUAACCAGUGUAUUUUUUCUGAUAAAACGUUGGUUCAAAUUUUUGAAUUUUUAUAUUUAUAAAAGGGUCAAAGUAAAUACCUUGUCAAAAUUUUAAGAAAAUUAAACGAGCCAAAUUAAUUUUAGUUAAAGUGUUGGGUACCACCUUAAGCCAAAUUAUAUUUGUAUUUAUUCCCCCAUUGAUGGUUCAAUAAGGUACAUGUGUAUGAUCAUUUUAAUUCAAUUUUUCGAAAAUAAUACAUUUCUCUAUUUUGUAUAGUAACAAUUUGGCAGCAGUUUUUGGGGCAUUUUGUGUCGUCUCAACACAUCAAUUGUAGUUUUGAUAUCAUUUGUCAUUAAACUUUAGGAUUUCAGUAAAAAAGCAAUAUCUAAAAGUAUGAUUUGUUAUACAUGUGUAUAGAAAAGGAAGAAUGAGGAAAUCAUUGCAGUAUAUAGAUAUGUUGUAUGUUGUAAAUCUUUGUACAUGUUGAAUUAUUUUGAAGUCUUAUAAUGAAAUAUUAAAUAUACAGAACUUUAAGUGAUAUUUAUUUCUUUCCUUUUCCCACAUAUAUUA
rnacentral:lncRNA from 1 species